rnacentral:rRNA from 1 species
UUGCACGCUGGCGGCAGGCCUAACACAUGCAAGUCGAGCGGAUGAAGGGAGCUUGCUCCUGGAUUCAGCGGCGGACGGGUGAGUAAUGCCUAGGAAUCUGCCUGGUAGUGGGGGAUAACGUCCGGAAACGGGCGCUAAUACCGCAUACGUCCUGAGGGAGAAAGUGGGGGAUCUUCGGACCUCACGCUAUCAGAUGAGCCUAGGUCGGAUUAGCUAGUUGGUGGGGUAAAGGCCUACCAAGGCGACGAUCCGUAACUGGUCUGAGAGGAUGAUCAGUCACACUGGAACUGAGACACGGUCCAGACUCCUACGGGAGGCAGCAGUGGGGAAUAUUGGACAAUGGGCGAAAGCCUGAUCCAGCCAUGCCGCGUGUGUGAAGAAGGUCUUCGGAUUGUAAAGCACUUUAAGUUGGGAGGAAGGGCGGUAAGUUAAUACCUUGCUGUUUUGACGUUACCAACAGAAUAAGCACCGGCUAACUUCGUG